AGGGUGAUAAUCGGGGACACAACGGUAAUUGGAUCUCCUUUAAUAUUUUAAUUAAAAAUAUAUAUUCCUUAAUCAUUGCAUACCCUUUCAAUUGUCCAUUUUAUUUUCCAUCAUUAAUACUAACGUGAGGAAAGGUAUUGGAAUUGUGCAAAUCUUCUUGGUUACAGCAAAACCAAUUCAACACUUUUUCAAUUUUUACACGUUUCUUCAUUCCAAUACACACAUUUUUCAUCUCUUUCCCUCUCCCUCUCUCUCUCUCUCAGACAAAACUUAACCCUUCUUUCUUUCUUUCUUUCUUCCAUUUUCACUCCUCUCUCUUUUUCCUUCAAACCCUUGAACCACCGCCUGUUUACAGCCACCACACAUCCGCCAACACUGUCACUCCGCUGCGCGGGACCAAACAACAACCACCACUUUCAGAUUAUACGCGAUUAUUUCUCUUUUCCUUUCACUCUAUUGAUUUCAGGGUUUGUGCUUCUAAUCCUCAUUGUUUUGAUUUUCGAUUUUAGGUUUUGCCAUCAAAAAACAUGUCUUAUUGCUUAUUUCUGACCACUGUGAAUCGUAUCCCUUGCAAGCUUAUUAUAAGAGUAUUUGAAAGAAGAAAACACUCAGAUCCUGCAACAAACAAAUUACAUGAGUUUCAAUUUUUCAAUCUCUUCUUAUUGUUGAUUUAAGGUUGUCUUUGGCUCUACUGUGAAAUUUCUCCAUCUUUGGCUCUACAAAUUUAGUUUGUGAAAAUAUUAUAGAUGUAUGCUUGAAAAUUGAUAUGAAGAGAAAGCAAAUUAAAAGAUAUCUCAUUCAUGUUUUUUAACUUCAUAGAUUGCAAUCAUGGUGUUUGGAACAAACUUCAUAGGUAAAGCAAACUGGAAGCCCUUACUUUCGGUCAACAAAAUGAUGCAAACACUCUAACAUUUUCUCAAUAUGAUGCAAUUGUUGCUGAACCUGAACAAGAACCAAAAUCAUAUGGAAACUCACCACUUCCCUUAGCUGUAGAUAGAACAAGAAGAAAAGAUCCUUUAGAUGGCUUCAUUGUAUACACUAAUGAAUGGAAUAUAAGUGACCACCAUUAUUGUGUUGGGAUUUGAAGAAAAUGUUGUCAGGACCAAUUGGAUUACAUAAUCAAGAUCAAAAGUUGUUUUACAAAGACAAAUAAAGAGAUUCAAAGGCUUUUUUUGACAUAGUUGGUGUAAAGAGAUUCCAAUUAAAUUAAGCUUGAUGCGACUAUUGACAAUAUAUUUACCACUUGAAGGACAUCUUGCAGAAUGUAGUUUGUUGCUGUUAGUUAAAUCCUUUCCCUUUAUCAAAGUACACAAAUAUUUGGAAAAGUAAGCUGAAGAUGGUUUAACUAUAUUAAAAAUAAUAUAUGCGGUUGGUUUACACUAUAAACUAUGUUAAAAAUGUAUUUCGUUUAAUGUAUUUAACAACUGCAGUUGAGAUACUUUCAUU